AUGGGGCGCAAGAAGCCACAUUUAGAUUAUUUCAUGAAAAUUUUUCAUAAUCAUACGUGUCAUGGAACUUCACAGCAAAAUAGUCACGAUUUUUUAAUAUUAUCUAUGGUUUUCCUUUGAAAUGAAAUAAACAAAAGUGACGUUUGCGAAAUGGCAAAAAAUCCACUUUGUUGCAUAAUUUGGUUCAUUGCCUUUUACUUUUCUUUCAUCAUUGCAUUUUUCUGUGCGUUUUGGUACAUCAUAUUGUACCCUUUCACAGUGUGUAUAAGCGCUUGCUCGGACUAUACGGACUUGCUGCUGAAGGGAAUUCAGCUGCCUCAGUUCUGUGCUAACAAGAUGGUGCAUUGUGAAGGAUGUUAAUGUUUUAAAACCCUAUUUUAUAUCUAUGGUUUUUGUUUAAAAUGAAAUAAACAAAUGUGAAACAAA